rnacentral:rRNA from 1 species
GACAGAGGGGGCAAGCGUUGCUCGGAAUUACUGGGCGUAAAGGGCGCGUAGGCGGGAUGGCAAGUCGGUCGUGAAAUCCCUCGGCUCAACUGAGGAGCGUCGAUCGAAACUGCCGUUCUUGAGGGUUGCAGAGGAGACUGGAAUUCCCGGUGUAGCGGUGAAAUGUGUAGAUAUCAGGAGGAACACCGGUGGCGAAGGCGGGUCUCUGGGCCGUAACUGACGCUGAGGAGCGAAAGCGUGGGGAGCGAACAGG